UCAGGCAGAACCCCAACACCACCAUCAACAACAAUUGAUCACGGCAAUCGAACAUAAACUGGUUAUUAUGUUUACAACGGAAAUCGAACAUAAACUGGUUAAUAUGUUUAUAACAGAAGCAAAGCUUUGAUUUUUAACAUACGAUUUUCUCCUGGGAAGGAAUCAAAAAAUCACAGGUGAAGUAGGAUUAGGGUUAUGAUUGGGGUCAUUCGUGAUAAUAGGAUCGGGCGAUCUUGUGGCCUGGAAAGGCUGCUGGGGGAGAAAAAAAGAAAUACGUGAGACAUAUCCGUCGUUGGAUCGGGUGAUCCUGGGGCCAGGAUAUAUCGUGGGCGAGGGAUAUAUCGUGUCCGUCCAGGUCCUCGGGAGUAAUUCGGGGCCUUAUUUUUUAAAACACGGGAUCAUGUUCUUUAUUUUUCUCCUUUACCUCACCAGCAUAAUAUGAGGAGAAUCAAUCAGGCAGAACCCCAACACCACCAUAAACAAAAAUUGAUCACGACAAUCGAACAUAAACUGGUUAUUAUGUUUACAACGGCAAUCGAACAUAAACUGGUUAUUAUGUUUACUACAGAAGCAAAGCUUUGAUUUUUAACAGACGAUUUUCUCCUGGGAAGGAAUCAGAAAAUCACAGAAAUAUAGAUUAGGUGAGCGAUUCGUUUCUAAUAAUUUUAGAUUUGAGAAACUUCUCUCGGUUUCUGCUCUUGGUUCUCAUAGAAUUCAAGCCAUCUUGAUUUGUUCUGAUUGCUCUGUGAUUGAUUUCUCGGUUGAUGCAUGAAUUUCUCGAAAUUGUGGCCCUCAGGUUGAUCAAGCAGGGCAAGUUGAUCGAAUAAACUUUGAAAUUCUUCUUCGCAAAAUAUCAAAGAUCCUUCGACAUCAAUUAGUCCUUCUCCGGAUUUCUUUUUAAUUAGUGCUGGUGGUUGUCGGAUUAAGACAUUUUGGUUUAGACGACCUUUGGAUCAUCAAAAUUCACACGUGACAACAAUAAAUCAGCCAGGAAGAGAUUUUUCAAGAGAUUCUCUUAUGUACUAAAAUAUUUCAAAAGGCAACGACCAAAGAUAUCGGAUAUUAUUCGAAUGCUUGAAGGUGAUGGGCUUGAAGAGAGAUAGUUCUCUAUCUUUGGCCCAAUGUGGAGGAAACAUAAGCAUGUAUCUAAGGAUUUUAUAUAAGGGAGCCAUCUUUGAAGCGCAGGGGUUUAUGUAUGUCGAUACCGUAAGAACAGUGGAGAAUUAGAACCUUAAACGCGAGGCUCAAUAUCAUAACUUAACAAUUAUCUUUUAUUUUUUAAAUCGGCAUCACAACUUAACAAUACCAAUGGUCUAAUGCAGGUAAUCUUCUUAAUAAUUUACUAUCUGUUGAUAUUGAAGAGUUUUCCUGUAUUGGUUUAGCUCAUCAUCUCCGGGUGCUUGAUUUCGAGAAUGGUGCAUCGAGUGUUUCUUAUAACCUCUUAGAAGACAUUUUAGAGUUGAGAUGGCAGCAUUACUCUUUGCGUGAGCAGUGAACUUAAUAAAACGUUUUGCAUAUUGGAGGUACCGCCUAUGCUAAGGAAGAAGGCAGAUGUCAGGAAAAGGGAAAGGGAAUAGCAGCGACACCAUUACAGGUGUGAACCCUUAUACUGGAUGCAUUGAAUUCAAGUACUUCUUUUUCUAAUAAGUAAAGCUAAUCAAUGUGUCGACUAAAUCCCGAUUGAAUUUAAUUUAACUUCUUUAGGGUGGCAGCUGCUUUGUGCUAAUAACCAUUUUCAUAUUUUCUGUCGAAUUCGAGUUCCGUUACUUUAAGAUGCACAUGGGAAUAGAGACGAUCAGGUAUGUGAAAAGCUUCAAGGUCCGGUGUUGGGAUUGUUCAGUGCUGUUGUACAACCUCUAAGAUUAUCAAGAUGUAGGUGGUGAUGAGAAGGAGGAGGAUGUAAUGGCACCACUAAUUUGGAUAUGAUCUUGAUAAGGGAAGUCGUGUUUCAAGAGGAUGUCCCAGAUAAGAUAUGGACUUGGAUGGUGGAAAUAAAGAACAAGUGCUAUUUAAAACUGAGCAGGAGAAAACAUUGCUUCCGAUGAGGAAAGUUACGUUCUCGAUGGUCAGGUCCAUUCUUGGUAUGUACUGUUUUCCCCCAUGGAGUUGUUGAAAUCGAAAAUACAGCAAACAAGAACAUCUUCAAGGUCAAUGGUCAGAGACUGAAACCAUUUCUGGAACCUAUUCCACCAGAAGUUGAGACCAUAGACUUGGAAGACCCCGUCUAUGUGGACUAAACUGGUUCACCUGUGUACAUACAAAUGGAUUAAAAGUCCAUUCUAUUUUCCCUUUCUUUCUAUUUGUAUAGUUUUUAUGUGUUCUAACCAAAAUUUUUGUCUUAUCGUUCUAUAUCUUGUUGUUUGCUUUCAAAGCAUUCAUCCACUUCUGGUUUAGCACCAUCCUUUUUGCAUCUGGUAAUCUCUUUCUUUUAAAUCUA